rnacentral:lncRNA from 1 species
CCCAUUCCGCGGAUGCGGGGGUUGAGGCCAGUAAGCGUUCUAGAGCGCCAAGGUGGGCCCUGGAAUUGAAGAGAAUGAUGUGACCGACAGAUGGCCAAAGUGGGAAGAGGCGCAGGCCAAAUGUCAGACAAGCACCAUGUCUCCACACUGGUCUUGGACCUGUGUGCACGCUCAGAGCUGACUGAGAGGACCAGACACCUGCAUGGGCAUAGCACUGCCUGAGAGGCAGUGAUGGGGUGGCCUCCUUCAGGGUGCAGGUGA